UCUAGACGACACGUAACUAUCUUCUGAACGACGCAAUAGAUAUAAAUUCCGAUUCAUAUCGACUCACAUGUGUCGUACUCGUUUGUCAUACCUAACCUAUAUUCCUAACGACGCGAUGGACAUGAAACUCGAUUCAUAAUGCCUCAUGUUUCCCUUUGUCGUAUCGGCUUGAAUUCCUCAUUUACAGGGUCCUACGCUCCUCUGGAUGUAUUGUCUAUCUGCUUCACACUCGUGAUUCUCAUCAACGCUGAUUUAAGAAGGAGAGUUAGGGAUAGGGCACUCGCCAACAAUUCAACAUAAGGACGAGAGGACGAGGGAUUCUAAAAAAAUCUGUGUUUCUUCGGUUCAUUGAAGAGGUUCUUAAAAUUGGAAUUGUUGGAUGAGAAAACAAAGGAAGAUGCAACAAAGAGCGUUUAUUCAUCCAAAAAAAACUACACAUACACACCAAAUUGGAUCAAUUCUUUCCACUCAGCCAAUGAUUCUCCUUUUCUUCUAACCACAAAUCCAGCCUCCUACCAUAACUCUGGCUUUCUCUACAUCAAGAAGUCCGACCAGAUCAUCCACAUAAAAAAGAAAUCUAAUUUGUGGCAACAUAAUACGCCCAUUUAUCUUCUUCUCUUAGGGAUUGAUUAAUCUUCCUGGAUUCUUUAACUGAGGUGAGAAUUCAUUUAAAUUUUAAGCAUAUUAUCAUGAAACCGUAUGUCUGCUAUCAUUUUCCUGUCUCCAUUACAUUGUUAACAAUAAAUUUAUAAUGUAAAAAUAUCAAUUCUUGAUCCCUGUUUCGACAUCAAUGUUAGAUAAUUUAGAUCUUUAUGGAUA